rnacentral:rRNA from 1 species
GCAGGCCUAAUACAUGCAAGUCGAGCGCACCUUCGGGUGAGCGGCGGACGGGUGAGUAACGCGUGGGAAUGUGCCCUUUGGUACGGAACAACUGAGGGAAACUUCAGCUAAUACCGUAUGUGCCCUUCGGGGGAAAGAUUUAUCGCCAUUGGAGCAGCCCGCGUUGGAUUAGGUAGUUGGUGAGGUAAAGGCUCACCAAGCCUACGAUCCAUAGCUGGUCUGAGAGGAUGAUCAGCCACAUUGGGACUGAGACACGGCCCAAACUCCUACGGGAGGCAGCAGUAGGGAAUCUUGCGCAAUGGGCGAAAGCCUGACGCAGCCAUGCCGCGUGAAUGAUGAAGGUCUUAGGAUUGUAAAAUUCUUUCACCGGGGAAGAUAAUGACGGUACCCGGAGAAGAAGCCCCGGCUAACUUCGUGCCAGCAGCCGCGGUAAUACGAAGGGGGCUAGCGUUGCUCGGAAUUACUGGGCGUAAAGGGCGCGUAGGCGGAUAGUUUAGUCAGAAGUGAAAGCCCA